AGGGAAUCUUCCGCAAUGGGCGAAAGCCUGACGGAGCAACGCCGCGUGAGUGAUGAAGGUCUUCGGAUCGUAAAACUCUGUUAUUAGGGAAGAACAUAUGUGUAAGUAACUGUGCACAUCUUGACGGUACCUAAUCAGAAAGCCACGGCUAACUACGUGCCAGCAGCCGCGGUAAUACGUAGGUGGCAAGCGUUAUCCGGAAUUAUUGGGCGUAAAGCGCGCGUAGGCGGUUUUUUAAGUCUGAUGUGAAAGCCCACGGCUCAACCGUGGAGGGUCAUUGGAAACUGGAAAACUUGAGUGCAGAAGAGGAAAGUGGAAUUCCAUGUGUAGCGGUGAAAUGCGCAGAGAUAUGGAGGAACACCAGUGGCGAAGGCGACUUUCUGGUCUGUAACUGACGCUGAUGUGCGAAAGCGUGGGGAUCAAACAGGAUUAGAUACCCUGGUAGUCCACGCCGUAAACGAUGAGUGCUAAGUGUUAGGGGGUUUCCGCCCCUUAGCGCUGCAGCUAACGCAUUAAGCACUCCGCCUGGGGAGUACGACCGCAAGGUUG
rnacentral:rRNA from 1 species